ACGAGUGGCGGACGGGUGAGUAACACGUAGGUAACCUGCCCAGAAGCGGGGGACAACAUUUGGAAACAGAUGCUAAUACCGCAUAACAGCGUUGUUCGCAUGAACAACGCUUAAAAGAUGGCUUCUCGCUAUCACUUCUGGAUGGACCUGCGGUGCAUUAGCUUGUUGGUGGGGUAACGGCCUACCAAGGCGAUGAUGCAUAGCCGAGUUGAGAGACUGAUCGGCCACAAUGGGACUGAGACACGGCCCAUACUCCUACGGGAGGCAGCAGUAGGGAAUCUUCCACAAUGGGCGCAAGCCUGAUGGAGCAACACCGCGUGAGUGAAGAAGGGUUUCGGCUCGUAAAGCUCUGUUGUUAAAGAAGAACACGUAUGAGAGUAACUGUUCAUACGUUGACGGUAUUUAACCAGAAAGUCACGGCUAACUACGUGCCAGCAGCCGCGGUAAUACGUAGGUGGCAAGCGUUAUCCGGAUUUAUUGGGCGUAAAGAGAGUGCAGGCGGUUUUCUAAGUCUGAUGUGAAAGCCUUCGGCUUAACCGGAGAAGUGCAUCGGAAACUGGAUAACUUGAGUGCAGAAGAGGGUAGUGGAACUCCAUGUGUAGCGGUGGAAUGCGUAGAUAUAUGGAAGAACACCAGUGGCGAAGGCGGCUACCUGGUCUGCAACUGACGCUGAGACUCGAAAGCAUGGGUAGCGAACAGGAUUAGAUACCCUGGUAGUCCAUGCCGUAAACGAUGAGUGCUAGGUGUUGGAGGGUUUCCGCCCUUCAGUGCCGGAGCUAACGCAUUAAGCACUCCGCCUGGGGAGUACGACCGCAAGGUUGAAACUCAAAGGAUUUGACGGGGGCCCGCACAAGCGGUGGAGCAUGUGGUUUAAUUCGAAGCUACGCGAAGAACCUUACCAGGUCUUGACAUCUUGCGCCAACCCUAGAGAUAGGGCGUUUCCUUCGGGAACGCAAUGACAGGUGGUGCAUGGUCGUCGUCAGCUCGUGUCGUGAGAUGUUGGGUUAAGUCCCGCAACGAGCGCAACCCUUGUUACUAGUUGCCAGCAUUAAGUUGGGCACUCUAGUGAGACUGCCGGUGACAAACCGGAGGAAGGUGGGGACGACGUCAGAUCAUCAUGCCCCUUAUGACCUGGGCUACACACGUGCUACAAUGGACGGUACAACGAGUCGCGAACUCGCGAGGGCAAGCAAAUCUCUUAAAACCGUUCUCAGUUCGGACUGCAGGCUGCAACUCGCCUGCACGAAGUCGGAAUCGCUAGUAAUCGCGGAUCAGCAUGCCGCGGUGAAUACGUUCCCGGGCCUUGUACACACCGCCCGUCACACCAUGAGAGUUUGUAACACCCAAAGUCGGUGGGGUAACCUUUUAGGAGCCAGC
rnacentral:rRNA from 1 species